AAAAAAACAUUUUUCAUUGUGACCCAGGAAGAAUUUUCCUCAAAACUGAAGCUCUGGAGUCAGCCAGACCUGGAUUCUAAUCCUGGAUCAGCUAUGUGACCUCAGAAAUGUUUUUUUGGAUGAAUAAAUGAAUUUGCCUUCAUGAUCGUCUCUUAAACAUGAGAAUAAUAUGUGAAUAUUCAAAUAUGAAAAUGAUGCCAUUACAUCUUUAUUCCUAGAAAUGUCUUGUCACUACGAGGUAGUUCAUUGCACGGUCACCUUUCUACUGAAUUCACUUAGAACCACUUGGAGCACGGAGGAAGGACAAGAAGGUUCCUGUCCAGCCAGUGCAAUGCUGCUACUUGAUUCAUUCUACUGCAUGAGCUUCUGGUUCCCAUUUCUUUGGAGCAGACAAGAGUGCUCACUGCGCCCCCACUACCGUGUCUGCAAAUGGUAAGAGCAGAUGCAGUUAGGGGCACUGGCUUCUGGCAGGCUUCCUGCAUGUUCUCUGCUUGGCAAUGUCAUGGCUGACAGCUGAGCCAAAGAGAAAGAUGAGUUUCCUAAGAGGGGCAGAAAAGCCUUUGUCUGGAAGG